AAUUGUGGAACUGAAAGUGUUCAAACUCAAAUGCCAUUUUAAAGACGGAGAAGAACGCAGAGAGCCUAAAAACUGAAAAAAGAACGGAGUAAGUAGUCUGUAGUGGAGUAGGAUGGAGAGAAUAUAAACUGAAGAUGAACAGGUGAGGGGAAAGCUAUAGUAAUCGCAACACGCUUAAUUCAGUAAAACUGGAAACGGACAAAAAAAUACACGAGGAGUAGCCUACUAGGCUAUCAUCAGGUUCCCCAUUUGAGACCGAAAACAGAAGGACAACAGCAGAGACAGUUUCCACAGGAUGAACGUUCAACUAAGGAACUAAAUUUAACAGAGAGACUGUACUGCAUGAAAAUCCCAGGAGGGCAGCUGUUUCUGUGAUGCUGGAACCACCAUAUCUGGCACCAUCCAUCUGGCACAGUCAAAGUCGCUUAGAUCAUACAUCUUGCCCAUUCUAAUAGGCUAAUUUGGGUUAGAAGCCACUUGUGGUCCAGUCUGGUCUGAUGUGUUCCCAUCUCCUUAGAUAGGGGGCGCUGUUUUCAAAAAUGAGUCUGUCAGAGGAGCCAGAGACCAAAGGAGGAAACCUCAGCACUGAGAGGAAGAGAUAUAAAUGCAUGAAUCAGAUAUUUAAUGUCAUAUGAGUUAGUUCUGCAGUAAGAGGAUUAGUUUAACUGGAAGCUGUCUCCAUGUGCUGUGAGUUAGAACUGCAGUAAGAGGAUGAGUUAAACUGGAAGCUCUGUCUCCAUGUGCUGUGAGUUAGAGCUGCAGUAAGAGGAUGAGUUUUACUGGAAGCUCUGUCUCCAUGUGUUGUGAGUUAGAGCUGCAGUAAGAGGAUGAGUUUAAAU